rnacentral:ncRNA from 1 species
AAAGGCUUAGUCCUAGCCCUGCUAUUAGUUCCUGCUAGAUAUAUACAUGCGAGCAUCCACGCACCAGUGCAAAUGCCCACAAUUUCUCACCACAGAUACAAGGAGCAGGCAUCAGGCACACAGCCAUGUAGCCUAAGACGCCUUGCCUAGCCACACCCCCACGGGUACUCAGCAGUAAUUAACAUUGAGCUAUAGGCGAAAGCCUGACUCAGUUAUAGCAACAUAGGGUCGGUAAAUCUUGUGCCAGCCACCGCGGUCACACAAGAGGCCCAAACUAAUUGCGCGCGGCGUAAAGAGUGGUACUACACUAUCACAGUAACUAGGGGCAAAAUGUCACUAAGCUGUCAUAAGCCCAAGUCUCACAUAAGACCCCCCACUAAGGUGACCCUAGUAGCUACGACUAACUAGCCCCCACGAAAGCCAGGGCUCAAACUGGGAUUAGAUACCCCACUAUGCCUGGCCCUAAAUUUUGAUGUUUGCCGUACACAAAACAUCCGCCUGAGAACUACGAGCACAAACGCUUGAAACUCUAAGGACUUGGCGGUGCCCCAAACCCACCUAGAGGAGCCUGUUCUGUAAUCGAUAACCCACGAUACGCCCGACCACUCCUUGCCAAAGCAGCCUACAUACCGCCGUCGCCAGUUCACCUCCCCUGAGAGAACAGCAGUGAACACAAUAGCCCCAUCCGCUAACAAGACAGGUCAAGGUAUAGCCUAUGGAGUGGAAGAAAUGGGCUACAUUUUCUAGAAUAGAAAGCCACGGAAAGAGAUAUGAAGUCACCUCUGGAAGGCGGAUUUAGCAGUAAAGAAGGAUAAUGAAGCCACCUUUAAACUGGCCCUGGGGCACGUACAUACCGCCCGUCACCCUCCUCACAAGCUAUUCCGUUCCCCAUAUAUAAUAUGCUCACCAGCUAAAGAUGAGGUAAGUCGUAACAAGGUAAGUGUACCGGAAGGUGCACUUAGCAUAC